GAGUUGGUUGUCACAAACACACAGAGAUAUCAUAAUACAGAUAAGCUAAGUAUAAAAUUAAAAAUCAAAGGCAAGACCCAUUUGAAUCCAAAAUCAUUAAGCCAAAUAUUGGUCCUUCUUUUUUUAUCUGCGCACACGCACACAGGUCCAUACAUAGGUUCAUUUUUUAAGCAUGCGUGCUUGUCAUCGGGCAUAAACUUCCCUUCAGAAGUACAUUCCGGAUACCUUAAAAACAAA